rnacentral:rRNA from 1 species
CACGGGGGGAGCAAGCGUUGUUCGGAAUCACUGGGCGUAAAGGGCGUGUAGGCGGUCAGGUAAGUGGGAUGUGAAAUGCCCCCGGUCUCCACCGGGGACCGGCAUCCCAUACUGCUUGGCUUGAGUUCGGGAGAGGGAUGCGGAAUUCCAGGUGUAGCGGUGAAAUGCGUAGAUAUCUGGAGGAACACCGGUGGCGAAGGCGGCAUCCUGGACCGGUACUGACGCUGAGGUGCGAAAGCGUGGGGAGCAAACAGG